AGCCAAAGUAGCUCAGUUGGUAGAGCACUCAAUUCGUAAUUGAGAAGGCAUGGGUUCAAAUCCCUUCUUUGGCUU
rnacentral:tRNA from 1 species